AGGAAUUGACGGGACCCCGCACAAGCGGUGGAUCAUGUUGUCUAAUUCGAAGAUGCGCGAAAAACCUUACCAGGCCUUGACAUCCCAUGCAAUGCUAUAGAGAUAUAGUGGAGGUUACCAUGGAGACAGGUGGUGCAUGGUUGUCGUCAGCUCGUGUCGUGAGAUGUUGGGUUAAGUCCCGCAACGAGCGCAACCCUUAUUGCUAGUUGCCAUCAUUUAGUUGGGGACUCUAGCGAGACUGCCAGUGACAAACUGGAGGAAGGUGGGGAUGACGUCAAAUCAUCAUGCCCCUUAUGGCCUGGGCUACAAACGUGAUACAAUGGGUGCUACAAAGGGCAGCGAAGCCGUGAGGUGGAGCGAAACCCAUAAAAGCACUCUCAGUUCGGAUUGAAGUCUGCAACUCGACUUCAUGAAGUUGGAAUCGCUAGUAAUCGCAAAUCAGAAUGUUGCGGUGAAUACGUUCUCGGGGUUUGUACACACCGCCCGUCAAACCACGAAAGUCAGCAAUACCCAAAGCCGGUGGCCUAACCGUAAGGAGGGAGCCGUUUAAGGUAGGGUUGAUGAUUGGGGUUAAGUCGUAACAAGGUAGCC
rnacentral:rRNA from 1 species